rnacentral:rRNA from 1 species
GGUUAAGCGACUAAGCGUACACGGUGGAUGCCCUGGCAGUCAGAGGCGAUGAAGGACGUGCUAAUCUGCGAUAAGCGUCGGUAAGGUGAUAUGAACCGUUAUAACCGGCGAUUUCCGAAUGGGGAAACCCAGUGUGUUUCGACACACUAUCAUUAACUGAAUCCAUAGGUUAAUGAGGCGAACCGGGGGAACUGAAACAUCUAAGUACCCCGAGGAAAAGAAAUCAACCGAGAUUCCCCCAGUAGCGGCGAGCGAACGGGGAGCAGCCCAGAGCCUGAAUCAGUGUGUGUGUUAGUGGAAGCGUCUGGAAAGGCGCGCGAUACAGGGUGACAGCCCCGUACACAAAAAUGCACAUAUUGUGAGC